CCUUGUUUUUAAAACAGCCUCCUGAGCUAUGUUCUUUACAAUGUCUGUAAUUAGUGUUUCACCUGAGAAAUCCUUUUGUGGUCAUAAAUAAUUUCUACUUAUUGAGAAAACAACAACAACAAUACAUACCAAUCACAAAGAACAGGUUUCUACUUUAUUGUCUGUGUAAGUGUGCAUUUUAAUAUUCUUUUUCUUUCCUAGAUGCAAUUUGGGGAUUUGAAUUGUAUAUUGUGAAACUGAUUUGAUCAUAUACCCUCUUGAAAAUGAAUGCCCAUUUUCUUUUAGAUCCAAGUUAGCACACAACAGUUUUUUUCUGCUUUGCCUAUAUUUACGUGCAAUUAAGUGCUCAAGCGUGACCUAGCCAUUGCAGCCUCUCAGCCACAGUAUUUAUGAAGAUGAUGUGUCCUGAACGAUGUAGCUCAUAUUAGCCUGAAUUUCCCAUUUCUGCUUUCAUUGUAGGUGUAACUCUUAAUCUUAAUGUCAACUGACCCAUGAUUUCUACUGUCAAUCCAAGUGAAUAUUGUUUGAAAUAUCUUUAACUAAUUUGAAGAAUUUUAAAGUUGUACUGUGAUUUUCAUAACCUGUUUCCUUUUUG
rnacentral:lncRNA from 1 species